rnacentral:rRNA from 1 species
ACAGAGGGGGCUAGCGUUGUUCGGAAUUACUGGGCGUAAAGGGCGCGUAGGUGGCCUGUUAAGUCGAACGUGAAAUCCCCGGGCUCAACCCGGGAACUGCGUCCGAGACUGGCAGGCUCGAAUCCGGGAGAGGGAUGUGGAAUUCCUGGUGUAGCGGUGAAAUGCGUAGAUAUCAGGAGGAACACCGGUGGCGAAGGCGGCUUUCUGGACAGAUACCGACGCUGAGGCACGAAAGCUAGGGGAGCAAACAGGA